GAGGAGAACGUGACAAGAGGCUAUUUAUUUAUACCAAAAGCUAUUUAUACCCGAUCCGACCCGACUCACUAUUCUUAAAAUUUGUUUCCGGACUAAAAUUUACCCGCGCCGCUACCACAGCCCCAACAAACCUGCAACAGACCAGAAACUGAAAACGGAGAUAAUUGUGCUACUUUAUUUUUGGAAAUAUGAAGAAAAUGAUAGCUUUAGGAUUUGAGGGUUCAGCUAACAAGAUUGGAGUUGGUGUUGUGACUUUAGAUGGUACAAUUUUAUCAAACCCUAGACACACUUACAUUACGCCUCCUGGUCAAGGAUUCUUACCCCGCGAAACAGCUCAGCAUCAUUUAGAACAUGUGCUUCCAUUGGUUAAAUCUGCUUUAGAAACUGCUCAAGUAACUCCUGAUGAUAUUGAUUGCCUUUGUUACACUAAAGGACCUGGCAUGGGAGCACCACUGCAAGUUUCUGCUAUUGUUAUUCGGGUUCUUUCGCAGCUGUGGAAGAAGCCUAUUAUUGCAGUUAAUCACUGUGUUGCACAUAUUGAGAUGGGUAGGAUUGUUACUGGGGCAGAUGAUCCUGUUGUGUUGUAUGUUAGUGGUGGGAAUACACAGGUUAUUGCUUAUAGUGAAGGGCGAUACCGGAUCUUUGGAGAGACUAUUGAUAUUGCUGUUGGCAAUUGUUUGGAUCGAUUUGCCAGAGUUUUACAACUUUCUAAUGAUCCAGCUCCUGGAUAUAAUAUUGAGCAGCUUGCUAAGAAAGGAGAGCAAUUUAUUGACCUUCCAUAUGUUGUCAAAGGGAUGGAUGUUUCUUUUAGUGGAAUAUUGAGCUUUAUUGAAGCUACUGCAGAGGAGAAACUUAAAAAUAAUGAGUGUACACCUGCAGACUUGUGCUAUUCCCUACAGGAAACUGUGUUUGCUAUGCUUGUAGAGAUCACAGAGCGGGCAAUGGCACAUUGUGACAAGAAAGAUGUUCUUAUUGUUGGUGGUGUGGGUUGCAAUGAGCGUUUGCAAGAGAUGAUGAGAAUAAUGUGCGCUGAGAGGGGUGGAAUGCUGUAUGCAACUGAUGACAGGUAUUGCAUUGACAAUGGAGCUAUGAUUGCAUAUACUGGUCUUCUGGCUUUUGCUCAUGGCACAACAACUCCGCUAGAAGAAUCCACUUUCACCCAAAGGUUCAGAACUGAUGAAGUCCAUGCAAUCUGGAGAGAAAAAGAGGAAGCAACUGAGGUCAACUGACUUGGAGUAUAGGGCCUAAGCUGCAUAACACUAAGGCCAGAGGUAUGCCCUUUCUGGUGUCACUCACGGAGGUUUGAGCACUUGAUGAUGCCUCUUCUGAUAUCAAUUAACUUCAACGCGUACCGUAGAAAACAGGGUUCCCGGGGGAAGUGGAUUUUUAAUGCAUUAUGUGGUAGCUAAAUUUGUAGGCUAAAUUGACAUCCAUUAUUAUCAGCAGAGAAUUUGUAGCAGUAAAAUGUACUCUAUUAUGUUCUUUAUGCAAAUUUGAGAAGUUCUUCAAAAAUAUUAAACGUUAUUUGUAUUAGAUCAUUAAUAUAAUUACGCAUGAGUGCUAUUGCUAUGUGUCAAUGAAAUUAAGUUUUGACACAUCAAAGUUUUUGCUA